rnacentral:tRNA from 1 species
AAGAGUAUAGCUUAACGGUAAAGCAUAUGUCUUCAACACAUUUGAUGAUAGUUCAACUCUAUCUGCUCUUG